GUAAACAUAGUUUAAUAGAACACUGUUUUUGUAAUACAGAAGUAGCCUUUGGUUUGUUUACU
rnacentral:tRNA from 1 species